ACAAUUGUCAGGUGCAUUUGGAGGCAAUAGGGAAGUACUCCAACGCUUUCAAUCAGGAAGUAGAAACAGACUCCACGGCCGUCACCCUCAUCAUCGAGGAACUCAGAAAAAAACACCCGGACCUGAAACCAGUGAAUCCAGUUCCUGCCUGGAAUGUUGCUGCUCCUAACCAGAACAGGAGAC